GUCACAGACAGACAGGCAGACAGACAGGUCGCAGCGUCACAGCCCUGUGUGUCGGUCGGGACCUAGCGUUAGCUGCGGUGUAAGCUGCGGGGGAGAGGCGGUUCUUGAAGGCGUGGAAACCCACUUGACGUUACCGAUAACGGGAUAUCGAUCCCAAGUGAUCGGUGCCGAUGAAACGACCCGUCUCGUGUGGACCCGGAGGAGAAGAAGAGACUUUUACAGUCACACGGUUCUUCAGAUACAACCGGAACGACUCGUCAUAGAGACUAAACUGUGCGCGUCAUCGACCCACAACGUGCACGUGGACCUGUCUGAGUGGACUCUGUGUGGUUCCGCUUCAUUGAACACGUCCGGAUCGUCUCCUCGUGACGUCAGCGCGCCAGCAGGAGGGAGACGGACCCGAACGGAGCCGAGCGACACCGAGCGGGUCCGAGUGAGCGAAGCGUUUUUAACGGAGUUGUCUGGAGGAAACGUUUCUGUGAGCUCGUGAAGAUGUCUAAAGUCCAACAGCUGAGAUGUUUAGUCAACCAGCGACUAACUGCGGCUGCGCAAGAGAUCUUUGGUCUGUUUGAAAGAACGAUAGCAGAGUACGAGGAGGAACUUUGUAGUUCCAGAGAGGAGAACGAGCGACACCGGAAACGACUGGACGCUGUGUUCAACCCGGAAGUCCGGUUACACAGAGCAGUAGACCCAGAGCCCCCCCACAUUAAAGAGGAACAGGAGGACCCAGAGCCCCCAAACAUUUGGAAAGUUCAUCCAAUGUUUCCACCAAAAUGACUUCAGUUCAAUGUUGUUCUUCUAUAUUUGUCCCAGAGUUUGUAACCAAGCUGCAGCAGACUGGUUUUAUUUUUAAAUAAAUAUGUGUGUUCAUGAUUAAUGUUUUAAUGGAAGUUACAUUUAUAAUGUGUACGUGAAAUGUGAAAUGAAUUGGUUUCAUUUAUGAAAUGUAUUGUUCACUGAUAUGAUUUCCACCCUGUUAUCUGAGUGUCAUUGAACCUCUGGCCGAGGCUAUUAGAAUACACCUACAUGUUAAAGGUAUUAACAGUGGGAAAAUGGAGCAUAUUAUUUCACUGUAUGCAGAUGAUAUACUGCUAUUUUUCCAUAACCCUAAACAAUCAAUGUGCUCGAAAUAAUCUGUGAAUUUGGUAGAUUCUCUGACUGUAAGAUCAAUAUGGGUAAAUCAACUGCCCUACCACUUGGAGGCAGUAGAGACCCGGAUAACAGCAUAAUAUCUCCAUUUAAUUUAUCUCCCAAUGGCUUUAAAUACCUGGGAAUCCAUGUCUGCUCCCAACUGGAAGACCUGGUGAAGAUGAAUCUGUCUCCUGUCCUCAAACAGAUUAAACUGGAUGUACAUAGAUGGCUGCCGCUCCCAAUUUCUUGGCUGAAUAUACUCCCUAGAAUGUUGUACCCCUUGUUCACUGAUAUGAUUUCCACCCUGUUAUCUGAGUUUAUUUUAUGAUAAUUAAAUGAAAUCAAGAAUUAUUAAGCAUAUCUUUGUGGUUACUUGCAGGUUAUGAAUUGGCUAAAUAAAAUAACAUAAAAAUGGCGUAAAAUUUCAAUUAAAUUUUAGAAGAACUUUUUACAAAAUAUUGCUUGUUUGUAAAUACUGUUUAAAAUAUAUUUUAGGGUAAAGGUGGAUUUGUGCUCAAACUGUAUUCAUGUACUCAGAUUUAGUUCUUCUUGCUCAGAUCUUCUGCUCUCCAGCUUCAGGCUGCGUUUGCUUCACUGGAACGUCCCUGAUGGAGGACUGGUUCCUCCUCUUCUGCAGCCCAAGGCUUUAUUAUAUUGUUCUUUAUCAAUAAAAGGACGAUUAAUGACAA